GACGAACGCUGGCGGCGUGCCUAAUACAUGCAAGUCGAGCGAAUCUUGAGGUGCUUGCACCUCUUGGUUAGCGGCGGACGGGUGAGUAACACGUGGGCAACCUGCCUGUAAGACUGGGAUAACUUCGGGAAACCGGAGCUAAUACCGGAUAAUCCUUUUCCUCUCAUGAGGAAAAGCUGAAAGUCGGUUUCGGCUGACACUUACAGAUGGGCCCGCGGCGCAUUAGCUAGUUGGUGAGGCAACGGCUCACCAAGGCGACGAUGCGUAGCCGACCUGAGAGGGUGAUCGGCCACACUGGGACUGAGACACGGCCCAGACUCCUACGGGAGGCAGCAGUAGGGAAUCUUCCGCAAUGGACGAAAGUCUGACGGAGCAACGCCGCGUGAGCGAUGAAGGCCUUCGGGUCGUAAAGCUCUGUUGUUAGGGAAGAACAAGUAUCGGAGUAACUGCCGGUACCUUGACGGUACCUAACCAGAAAGCCACGGCUAACUACGUGCCAGCCGCCGCGGUAA
rnacentral:rRNA from 1 species